rnacentral:rRNA from 1 species
UACAGAGGUCCCAAGCGUUGUUCGGAUUCACUGGGCGUAAAGGGUGCGUAGGUGGUAAGGUAAGUCGGAUGUGAAAGCUCGGAGCUCAACUCCGAAAUGGCAUUGGAAACUACCUUGCUAGAGGGUUGGAGGGGGGACUGGAAUACUUGGUGUAGCAGUGAAAUGCGUAGAUAUCAAGUGGAACACCAGUGGCGAAGGCGAGUCCCUGGACAACUCCUGACACUGAGGCACGAAAGCUAGGGGAGCAAACAGG